rnacentral:rRNA from 1 species
GUGGGGAAUCUUGCGCAAUGGGCGAAAGCCUGACGCAGCAACGCCGCGUGGAGGAUGAAGGCCCUUGGGUUGUAAACUCCUGUCGGCUGGGAAGAAAUCGUUCGUGGCUCAUACCCACGGACGUUGACUGUACCAGCAAAGGAAGCCCCGGCUAACUCUGUGCCAGCAGCCGCGGUAAUACAGAGGGGGCUAGCGUUAUUCGGAAUUAUUGGGCGUAAAGGGCGCGUAGGCGGCCAUGCGUGUCUUCCGUGAAAUCCCUCGGCUUAACUGAGGACGUGCGGAAGAAACUGCAAGGCUCGAGUCCGGGAGAGGGGGGUGGAAUUCCCAGUGUAGCGGUGAAAUGCGUAGAUAUUGGGAGGAACACCGGUGGCGAAGGCGGCCCCCUGGACCGGUACUGACGCUGAGGCGCGAAAGCGUGGGUAGCAAACGGGAUUAGAUACCCCAGUAGUCC